rnacentral:misc_RNA from 1 species
GCCGCGUAGAACGGGCUGGCAACUCCUCUGUCCCCCUCUCUCGCUGCGUUAUUUUGUUUUGUCUUCGCACCGUUUUCUCGCCUCCUCCUACCCCCACCCCCGUACACGCUGUUAUCGCCAUGCUGCGCGCCUCAGCAGGCAGUAUUCAGUUCACUUCGGUGUACGAGUGCACUACCCCUAAUGCGCCCUAUGCCUACCUCAUCGAGAUCGACGGGGUGCGCAUCCUCUUCGACUGCGGAUGGAACGAUGAGUUCGACACGUCCUUCCUCAGCAAGCUGAAGCCGCACCUGCCAACCGUGCAUGCCGUGGUCCUGUCGAGCCCGCACAUCACCGCCUGCGGCGCCCUUCCUUUUGUCCUCAGCCACAUCUCACCCGGCACGUUCGUGGCGGCGGCCGGUGGCACAUCAAAAGUCGGCGUGCACAGUGUCCUGCACUCCUUCCUUUACCAGUACCCGAACUCGCACACGUUCACCCUCGCGGAUGGGGAGGCCUUUACGAUGACGGUGGAUUCCAUCUACCACAGCUUCCGUUCUCUCCGCGAGCCAUACGGCGGCAAGGUCACCGUGAAAAACGGCGACGUCGAGGUCAACUGCCUCGCCGUCUUUGCUGGCCGCAUGCUGGGCGGCUACAGCUGGAUAAUCAAGUACCAAAUCGAUGAGCUAUUCUACUGCCCCGACUUCUCGGUGAAGCCGUCGUACGCGCUGAAGCCGUUUGACGUGCCGACCACUGCGAACAUCGUGCUUGCGAGCAGCUUUCCUUUUCACAUGACCGGCUCGAAUCGGACGACCAAAUACGAGGAGCAACUGAAAAACCUCUUCAAGGAAUUCCAGCACACCCUGCGUGGUGGCAGUGACGUUCUCGUGCCUGUGAACGUCGCAGGUCGUGGGCUGGAGGUAUUGAACAUUAUUGUGCACCUCUUGGCGGAGCAGGGCGGCGACAAGUACAAGGUUGUUCUGGUGGCUGCCCAGGCACAGGAGCUGCUCGACAAGGCGGGCACCAUGACGGAGGCUCUGCAAGACUACUUGAUCCUCGAUGAUAAGCGCCUCUUUGCCAACGUCCUCACGUGUCGCAGCGCGGAGGAGGUGCUCCCGAUCCAGGGCCCGAAGAUCUGUGUCGCAGACGGUGCCUCCCUCGACUUUGGGCCCUCCGCAGAGCUGCUCGAGUACUUCGUGAAGGGGAACCGCGACGGCGCCGAUCACCUCAUCGUCUUGACGGAGCCGCCGUUGCCAGGGACGAACGCGGCCGUUGUCACCGCCGCCGCCGACGGCGAGCGUCUCCACAUGCAAAUCACGCGCCGCAGUCGGUUAAGUGGGGAGGAGUUAGAGGAGUACUACAUUGAGCUCGAGCACGAAAUGGAGCAGCGACGGCGCGAGUUGGAGGCGCGGAGCGCCUUCCAGAUUGUGCAAGACGACGACGAGGCUGCAACUGUCAAAGGAGAAGAGAACGACGACGACGACGACGACGACGGCGAGUGUGCGACGGCGGCGACAGGUCACCGCGGCGCAACUGAGAAAGCUGCCGCCUGCGCCGGCGCCAAGGAUGCCGUCGCCGCAUCCAAGGCGAAGGCGGCGACGACCCUUGGCUUGGUGCUGCCGCCCCCGCUACACUACCAUUCGAAGCAUCUCAGCUUUCCCGUGCUGGAGACCACGAGCACUCUGAGCGCGGCGGCGCUGAAGCGCGUCGAUGUGACGUACGGACUCCCUGUCAGCGAGGAGGAGCAGGUCUUGCUGCAGAAACGCGCGCCUGCACGGCAGCACAGCGAUGCGGGGCCAGAGGCGUUGCAGGUAGAAAACGAUGCGCAGCGACUCGCUAACAUCCCAUCGAAGGUGUCGCGGGUUGCCGUGCAGGUGAACCGGCGCUGCCGCGUUGUCCUGUCCGACCUCAGUGGGUAUCCCGACGCGCUCACCAUGAAGAGCGUCCUCAAGACAAAAUGGACGUUUGCAAAGAAGAUUGUCGGACUUCGCGGCAGCGCCGAAGACGGACGGGCGUUCCUGCACUUCUGUCGCGCCGACAAGGCGAUGAAGUGCGGCUCGAACGUUUUCAGCACCACCUCCUGUGGCGUGCCGCUGGAACUGGCGACGCACGUGUACUCGUAUGCGGUGCAGCUGGAGUCGAGUCUGGCGCGUAGCCUGUCGCGCGGCCUCCGCCGUGUUCGCGAGACGAAGUCGAAGAGCACGUGGGAGGUUGGGUGGGUCAACGGUGAACUCUCUGGCGUGCGUGCAGAGGCCGACCUCGAGGAACAAGAGAUGCAGCGCCGUCGCUCCGAUCGGGCCAUCUACUCCCUCGCCUCUGUGACAGCGGACAAGUCGCAGGCGUGCGCGACACAGCGGGAGCAGCGCGGGCUGCAGAGCGGCUCCUUCUUUGUCGGGGACAUGGACCUGCGCCGCCUGCGCGAGACGUCACGACAGGAAAGCGGGCUGUACAGCGAGUUUCACAAGAAGGCGCCGCUUCUCGUCUUUGACGAAGGCGUGUGUGUCCGCAAAGGCGCGGACGGCACCGUCACGAUCUCUUCCAUUGCCACCCCAGCACUGUUUGAUCUUCGCCGCACUGUUUACCGGCAGUACUCGCAGGCGCUAUAGACGAGGAAGAGGUGGGGUGGGGUUGCAGAGGCAGGCGACAUCUGCAAGGAUGCGGUCAUCUCUUCGGUCAACGGAGUUGUAUUGUCGUCGUCGUGCACGUUGAUGCAUGUGCUUGUGUGGGAAAUGUGUGUAAUGUGUUUGAUUUAAUGGAUGACCCAUGUCCAUUGACAUCGAGUUAGGGAAGAGGGUGGGGUGAUUUCGGUACUCAAGCUGCAUACACGAGCUGAGAUCGUGAGUCCUCUGCGCUGUCUUCGUUAUCCUGUGUCUGCGCAUUGGUGCGUGUGUGCAGAUACUGCUAGUGGAGACGGCAGAAGUGUUUUUUUUUUCGCCUUGGUUCUCUUUUCCUUCUUGCGUGCGCACUGCCGCUUUUCCUGCACAAUGGCACAACCACAGACUGGCAUUCCCCACAAUGAAGGAUAGAAAGCAAUUCCGGCUCCCCCAACCGCACCACGCUCCCUCAUCGCAGCUGUGGCAAGUACUUUUCACGCAUAUUGAGUUCCAGGCGCCUUCGCCACCACGCUUCUUCCCUCUUUUCGUCUCUCGGUUCUUCAGUCGCGGCGCCUGCUUCAUGACUGCCGCACCUCAGAGCCGCUGCUGCGUGGCGGAGGUUGCAUCAUUGCCUCGAUUUGCUGUGGGCGAAGUAGCGGGAAGCGAGGAAGAGAAGUAGGACAGGCCUUUGCAGUGGGGAGGCAACCAAACAGCCAGACCAGCGUACGGAUGAUGGCCAGCACUGCGUGCAAACGCGUUCUGCGCACUUGGAUCCCUCUCGUCUUUACCACGGCUCCUCUCGGUCUCUCUGCGCGUCUGUAACGAUGUCGGCCACUUCGUGUUUCGCAUGCACUGUGUACUGUCGGUGCUCAG